rnacentral:lncRNA from 1 species
GGAAGAUCCCUCAUCCAGCGGCAUUUUGAAAUUCCCCCACCGCAGAAAAUAUUCUCUGCGAGGAAGAGGAAGAGGAGGAGGAGGGGAGGCAAAACGCUUCAAGGGAGCCGCUUGCACCCUAAGCCCCGAUCGGGGGAGAGAAGGAGGGAGGGAAAGAAGCAAGGCGGGCUCGAACAACUUCCUACUCGGCUGCCAGCAUCAAACGCUGAAAACCAACCCUUUAACUGCCGCCAACGUGGAGCUGAAUUUCUGUCCUCUGGAAACGGCAGCGUGGAGGAAGCGAUGAAUGGUCAGAAAGGGGCGGUGGCUGACUCUUUGCCCUCCCCAGGCGGUUGCCGUGCCGGGGUUUCUGCCUGUUAGUUCGCGUCUCGUCCCUGACUUCUUCCCAGCGGCCGCGGGGGUGGAAAAGAAAAGGCUGCGGAGGGCUCCUCGGAGAAGGGAGCGAGGCGUGAGCAGCGCGGUUCCUCCGCUUCCCUCCUCCGGGGCUGUCUUUCUUUCUUUCUUUCUUUCUUUUUUUUUGGCGGGCGGGUUAGGAGACUUUCUGCCAUGACUACAUAGAGCGGCGCUGAGUGAGAGCGCGCAUUCCCGAGCUGCCGCCGCCACCGCCACCAGGCACCAUGAGGGGACAGGCGCAGGUUUUUUUCCUGGUUCUGCUGUGCCUCGGCAAGGUAAAACUCACUGCUGCAUGUGAUUCCGAAUGCAGUUCCUUAAACAACCUAACAGUAACAGAAACAACAAUAAGGAUCCAGUUAAAUAACAACUUUACAAUAACAAGUGUAACUUUUCAAAAUAAAUCAAAGGUGGAUCUUUCCGAGAAUGAUUCAAUAUCUAACCUUUAUCCUGGUAUUCAGUAUAUUGUUCAUUUCAAUAAUCCUAAUGAAAGUUGCUGCAA